rnacentral:tRNA from 2 species
CGCGGGGUGGAGCAGCCUGGUAGCUCGUCGGGCUCAUAACCCGAAGGUCGUCAGUUCAAAUCAGGCCCCCGCAACCA